UACGGAGGGUGCAAGCGUUAUCCGGAUUUACUGGGUUUAAAGGGUGCGUAGGUGGGUAGGAAAGUCAGUGGUGAAAUCUUCGGGCUUAACCCGGAAACUGCCAUUGAUACUAUUUAUCUUGAAUACCGUGGAGGUCAGCGGAAUAUGUCAUGUAGCGGUGAAAUGCUUAGAUAUGACAUAGAACACCAAUUGCGAAGGCAGCUGGCUACACGAAUAUUGACACUGAUGCACGAAAGCGUGGGGAUCAAACAGG
rnacentral:rRNA from 1 species